ACACAUGCAAGUCGAGCGGUAAGGCCCUUUCGGGGGUACACGAGCGGCGAACGGGUGAGUAACACGUGGGUGACCUGCCCUCCACUCUGGGAUAAGCCCGGGAAACUGGGUCUAAUACCGGAUAGGACCACUGAUCGCAUGGUUGGUGGUGGAAAGUUUUUUCGGUGGGGGAUGGGCCCGCGGCCUAUCAGCUUGUUGGUGGGGUGAUGGCCUACCAAGGCGGUGACGGGUAGCCGGCCUGAGAGGGCGACCGGCCACACUGGGACUGAGACACGGCCCAGACUCCUACGGGAGGCAGCAGUGGGGAAUAUUGCGCAAUGGGCGGAAGCCUGACGCAGCGACGCCGCGUGGGGGAUGACGGCCUUCGGGUUGUAAACCUCUUUCGCCAGGGACGAAGAGCAAUUGACGGUACCUGGAGAAGAAGCACCGGCCAACUACGUGCCAGCAGCCGCGGUAACACGUAGGGUGCGAGCGUUGUCCGGAAUUAUUGGGCGUAAAGAGCUCGUAGGCGGUGUGUCGCGUCGGCCGUGAAAACUUGGGGCUUAACUCUGAGCGUGCGGUCGAUACGGGCAUCACUUGAGUUCGGCAGGGGAGACUGGAAUUCCUGGUGUAGCGGUGAAAUGCGCAGAUAUCAGGAGGAACACCGGUGGCGAAGGCGGGUCUCUGGGCCGAUACUGACGCUGAGGAGCGAAAGCGUGGGGAGCGAACAGGAUUAGAUACCCUGGUAGUCCACGCCGUAAACGUUGGGCGCUAGGUGUGGGGACCAUUCCACGGUUUCUGUGCCGCAGCUAACGCAUUAAGCGCCCCGCCUGGGGGAGUACGGCCGCAAGGCUAAAACUCAAAGGAAUUGACGGGGGGCCCGCACAAGCGGCGGAGCAUGUGGAUUAAUUCGAUGCAACGCGAAGAAACCUUACCUGGGUUUGACAUGCACCAGACAUCCCUAGAGAUAGGGCUUCCCUUGUGGUUGGUGUGCAGGUGGUGCAUGGCUGUCGUCAGCUCGUGUCGUGAGAUGUUGGGUUAAGUCCCGCAACGAGCGCAACCCUUGUUCCAUGUUGCCAGCACGUAAUGGUGGGGACUCAUGGGAGACUGCCGGGGUCAACUCGGAGGAAGGUGGGGAUGACGUCAAGUCAUCAUGCCCCUUAUGUCCAGGGCUUCACACAUGCUACAAUGGCUCAUACAGAGGGCUGCGAGACCGUGAGGUGGAGCGAAUCCCUUAAAGUGAGUCUCAGUUCGGAUCGGGGUCUGCAACUCGACCCCGUGAAGUUGGAGUCGCUAGUAAUCGCAGAUCAGCAACGCUGCGGUGAAUACGUUCCCGGGCCUUGUACACACCGCCCGUCACGUCACGAAAGUUGGUAACACCCGAAGCCGGCGGCCCAACCCUUGUGGAGGGAGCUGUCGAAGGUGGGACUGGCGAUUGGGACGAAGUCGUAACAAAGUAGCC
rnacentral:rRNA from 1 species